GGUAGACGCUACGGACUCAAAAUCCGUUGGUUCCAAAGGACCGUGA
rnacentral:tRNA from 1 species